rnacentral:rRNA from 1 species
CCUACGGGAGGCAGCAGUGAGGAAUAUUGGUCAAUGGGCGUAAGCCUGAACCAGCCAAGUCGCGUGAGGGAUGAAGGUUCUAUGGAUCGUAAACCUCUUUUAUAAGGGAAUAAAGUGCGGGACGUGUCCCGUUUUGUAUGUACCUUAUGAAUAAGGAUCGGCUAACUCCGUGCCAGCAGCCGCGGUAAUACGGAGGAUCCGAGCGUUAUCCGGAUUUAUUGGGUUUAAAGGGUGCGCAGGCGGUCUGUUAAGUCAGCGGUCAAAGCCCGGGGCUCAACCCCGGCCCGCCGUUGAAACUGGCAGUCUCGAGUUGGAGAGAAGUAUGCGGAAUGCGCGGUGUAGCGGUGAAAUGCAUAGAUAUCGCGCAGAACUCCGAUUGCGAAGGCAGCAUGCCGGCUCCACACUGACGCUGAGGCACGAAAGCGUGGGUAUCGAACAGGAUUAGAUACCCGGGUAGUC